rnacentral:rRNA from 1 species
CUGGUUGAUCCUGCCAGAGGUUACUGCUAUCGAGAUUCGACUAAGCCAUGCGAGUCGAAUGUUCUUCGUGAACAUGGCGAACUGCUCAGUAACACGUGGACAACCUACCCUUGGGUUCGGCAUAAUCCUGGGAAACUGGGGAUAAUACCGGAUAGGUCACAGCUGCUGGAAUGCACUGUGGCUCAAAGCUCCGGCGCCCAAGGAUGGGUCUGCGGCCUAUCAGGGUUGUAGUGGGUGUAAUGUACCUACUAGCCUACGACGGGUACGGGUUGUGAGAGCAAGAGCCCGGAGAUGGAUUCUGAGACACCAAUCCAGGCCCUACGGGGUGCAGCAGGCGCGAAAACUUUACAAUGCGGGAAACCGUGAUAAGGGAAUCUCGAGUGCCAGCAUAUAAUGUUGGCUGUCCAGAUGCCUAAAAAGCAUCUGUUAGCAAGGGCCGGGCAAGACCGGUGCCAGCCGCCGCGGUAACACCGGCGGCCCGAGUGGUAACCGCUAUUAUUGGGUCUAAAGGGUCUGUAGCCGGCCAGGUAAGUCCCUUGGGAAAUCUGGCGGCUCAACUGUCAGGCUGCUAGGGGAUACUGUUUGGCUUGGGACCGGGAGAGGUGAGAGGUACCUUGGGGGUAGGGGUGAAAUCUUGUGAUCCUCGAGGGACCACCAGUGGCGAAUGCGUCUCACCAGAACGGGUCCGACGGUAAGGGACAAAAGCUAGUGGCACGAACCGCAUUAGAUACCCGGGUAGUCCUAGCCGUAAACGAUGCUCGCUAGGUGUCAGUCACGGUGCGACCGUGAUUGGUGCCGUAGGGAAGCCGUGAAGCGAGCCACCUGGGAAGUAUGGCCGCAAGGCUGAAACUUAAAGGAAUUGGCGGGGGAGCACUAC